rnacentral:tRNA from 1 species
GGGACAGUGACUCAGUGGUAGAGUGCUUGCCUUGCAUGCAUGAGGCCCUGGGUUCAAUUCCUCUACCA